GAAGGAUCCCCCAGGGCCUGUUCAUUGUAUUUAAUGCUAAUGAUUUCAUCAUUCCCUGGACAUACAGCAAAUGCUGCCCUUUGUCACUGGGACAAACUGGACCUCGUCACAGGUCCUUGGAGGGGCAUACUUGCCAGCCUCCUACCCUGUGACUAUGGCCCCUGUGUUAAACCCUAUUGGAAAACACUAUUUGUGUCUCUUGGACUGGUAACAGGAACCAUUAGAACUUUCGAAAGCCAUUCGAACACGUGGUGGCGGCCAUCUUGUUAGCAUGGACCAAAACCGCGAAUAGACUUCAGGGGGACUUAGCCGCGAAUGCCCUGGAACUAUUUUCGGCUAUGGGACCAUGCCUGCAGUCAGUAAUAUCUAUGACUUCCAUAAAAUUUCUGAACCCCUGAACUGAUCUGGGUGAUUUGUGGAUAUGUUGGUCACCCAGAUCAGGGCUAUCAGGGGAUGUAACAUUUGUGGGGAUACUAUG